GACAGAGGUGCCAAGCGUUAGGCGGAAUCACUGGGCUUAAAGCGUGUGUAGGCGGGUUCGUAAGUACCUUGUGAAAUCCCACGGCUUAACCGUGGAACUGCUCGGUAUACUGCGAGUCUUGAGCCAACUAGGGGCUACUGGAACAAAUGGUGGAGCGGUGAAAUGCGUAGAUAUCAUUUGGAACGCCAAUGGUGAAAACAGGUAGCUGGGGUUGUGACUGACGCUGGAGACACGAAAGCCAGGGGAGCAAACAGG
rnacentral:rRNA from 1 species